UACGAAGGGGGGCUAGCGUUGCUCGGAAUCACUGGGCGUAAAGGGUGCGUAGGCGGGUCUUUUAAGUCAGGGGGUGAAAUCCUGGAGCUCAACUCCAGAACUGCCUUUGAUACUGAAGAUCUUGAGUUCGGGAGAGGUGAGUGGAACUGCGAGUGCAGAGGUGAAAUUCGUAGAUAUUCGCAAGAACACCAGUGGCGAAGGCG
rnacentral:rRNA from 1 species